GGCCAUCUAUUAUAAAUAACAGGAUCACGGCAUCACGCUCCCCUUAUUUACAAAUUAAGCUUAUAGAAAUAAAUGGCUUCCUUUAAGUACAACAUUUUGAUGUACACUUUGUUAAUCUUACUCAUCAUCACCUCUUCAACUCUUGCUUCUUUCUCAAAAGAUGGUAUAAGUUCCAUGAAAGUUGCUUGCAAUUAUCAUGGUGGUGGUCAUCAAGGUCAGGCUGGCAGGGGCGGUGGCAGAGGUAAUCCUUGUUAUAAAUGGCCGGGUUCGCCUCGUAGGUCUUGAACAACAACCGUAAGCAGUAUAACAACAACCCCUGAUCAAUCUUCAUGUUUCUGUUUUGUACAUUUAACUUUUUUUUUAGGGGAUCCUGUUUGUAUAGCUACCUUUUCACUUGCCUGAUAUUUUUUUCCUUUUUUCUGGCCCUUAAAAACCCAUUUACUAGUCAAUAAUACAUUUGAUAAAUUUGUACGAUUCUCUUAUUUUUAAGGAAUACCAAUGGUUAUAUGCGUGCCUGGAAUCGUUGUUUAAGGAUCGUUAGGCUAUUAUAGUUCAACGUCUGACGUCAAAUUGACAUAUCUCAUUAUCUACUUAUUAAAUUGCUUGGUUCAAGUUGGAGGUAAAACUUUGGUUUAAAAGCUUUCCAACACAUUGUCACAAGCACUUGAUGAGAAAUGAGGGAGUUAUGACUGUUUUACGAGAAGUUGUAUUGAAUCAGGUAAGUUUGACCGAACAUGUUUGUGAUUCGAACAUGUUGAAUGUUUGAUUGAACCUUUUUGUGGUUCGACCGAAUGUAACAGAGAAGAAAAGAGUCAGUAAGCUCAUGGUUUUGGUGGUUUGACCGAACCAUAGGUAGGUUCGACCAAGCUUGUUAUAGGUUCGACCGAACCGUCGAGCUAUUUUUCUUCUCCACAAGCUUCAAUCAGCAUGGUCUUUUCUUAUCCGUUAGAUCGUAUCGAUGUCAAAUACUACAAAUGACAAAUACAAUAAAAUCUAUAUAAUAUUAUUAAAACUCCAAGGCAAUCCAAGUCAUCCCGACCUCUCUAUGUUGCGACGACUUGACAGUGACAUGUCAUCGUCGUGCCAUGUCAUAUGCAACAUUAUUGUUUAUUGUGUCAUCGGAAAAUUUUUAUUGUUAUCCAUCCCCGAACUCAUGAUAUCUCAUAUCUAGUAUGUUAAUGCAAAGUUUAUAAUUCAUCACUUCAACGAUAUAACUUAUGACUCUAAAAUAAUUAAACAGAAAAACUUCGUUCUUAUGAAUGUACAAAACUUUAAUGACCAAAUUUAUGUAUUUGAGUAACAAUUUAUGAUAACACAUUUUUUUUCUUUUUUUAUUCCCUUUCUAAUCAAAUCAUAUAUCUUUUCUAGAAAUUUUUUAGAUCAAACACAAAAAUUUUAAACCAUGAAAUUAAUAGAGAAAAGAAUAUCAAAAAAUAAUAUUGUGCUUUCUUUUAGCUAAUCAAGUGUGUUUUUCUUCCUCCAAAUUGUAUUUCAACUUUGUAAGUCAUGCAUAAUAUACAAUUGUAACUUAAAAAACUUAUAUGUUAUAAGUAAAGUAGUACAAAAGAUAAAAUUUUGGUUUACCGAUGGUUGGGUUAACGAAUUUUAUUCUUAAUGUGCAUAUAUAAUAAAAUUCAUAUCUCAAACUGCACACAUAAAGAAUUAAUUUUAUAAGUGAAUUUGAAAUGAGUAAAAAAAAACUAAAACUAUAUCAAACAUUUCGGGCAUCACCCACAAUGGCGGAGCCAAGUGGGUGCAAGGGGGGUCCACCGACCCCCCAAAGAAAAAUUGAAAAAAAAACCCCCCAAAGAAAAAUUGAAAAAAGAAACUUAUAGUUGAGAGCUAAAAGACCUGUUAUACUCUAUAAUUGAUCUCUUAGGUGAUACUAAAAAAACCAGCUCCGCAAAUAAUUCCAAGAAACUGAGUUCCGCAAUAACAAUAAACUACCAAGAGCUCCGCAAUAAUUAAUAAUCACGUGGUCCAUCAACCUGCAACAAUGAAUUGAGUUAAAAACCCCAAAUAAAAAAAACCUCAAAUUUUACAUACGAAGAACCCUAAUUUCGGAAUUUCACAAAUAACCUGUUUAACUACGUGCACCAUGCUGGUAAAUGGGGAAAAUUGACGAAAAUUGUUUGGUGAUGAAAUGUACUUGAAAAAUUGAAAGAGAAAUUGAUUUAUUUUGCGGAUUUUUGAGAAUUUUUUUCCGACCAAGGUGUGUUAAUGGAGGAAGAUAUUAUAAAGAGGAAGAAGAAAGGAAAAGAUGAGGGAAAUCUAAUUUGGUCGUUGGAUGUGGGUCCCACAAAACUGAAUUUUUGAUGGAAGUUCAAAUUAGCUGGUUGUUAUUCAAUGCCCUACAAAUACACAAAAACGCCAUAUUUUUUACAUGUUUGUCCUAUUUUAACCUUACUCAUUUACCAUACCUCUUUCAUAUUUUUUUUACUCUUACCUCUUACCAUCUCUCUCACCCAACCAAACCACCCACUAGGCCACCACCACUUCAUCCAUAAUCACCGGAGCGGAGCCACCGUACCACAGUUCACGGAGGUACCCCUGGAGUCCGACGAAAUUUUGUGUUUCCGAGCAAUGUGUCCGGCCUCUCUCAUCCGAUGAACUGUUCUUCAUUCAUCUACAGCCAAAUUAGAGUGAGUUGUCCCCUUUAUUUCUCCUGGGUACGUUUCCGAAAAAAUAGGGUGAGACUACAUCUAAGUGAGUGUAGCCCAUAGGGUAGACUGAAAUCGUCUUAGUCUAGCCCAUGGGGUAGACUAGAAUCGUCUCAGUCUAGCCCAUGGGGUAGACUUAUAUCGUCUUAGUGACGCCUACUCUUGCCAAAAACCAGUCAGGGCCCAAGAAAAGACUAUGAUUAAUUGAGUCUUAACCAUUGAUAAGACUACAUCUAACACAGUCAUACCCUUGGGCAAGACUAGAUCAGCUCUAGUCUCAUUCGAUCUUCACCAUUGUUGAAUUGUACAGACUCAAACUAAGCAUGUUACCAUGGAUCUAUGAUCUUCUCUCAUUUCCUAGCAAUUCUUUAUUUUUGCUGCUUCUUGAAGAAAUAAAAUACACUUAGGGAGAAAGGUGUAUCCUUUCAGACAACUUCCUCUUGUUGAAGCCUCAAUGGUGGAAGGAGAGAAGAGAUCAUCUACUAAAUUGGGAAUGUGUUUAUACACCAGAAGUAGACCUGGUUAUUGGACAGGGUAAUCCAAUGGAUAUAGGGUUAGGGUCAAGUUAAUAGGGCUUUUAUUGGGUAGGGCUCUUAUUGGACAGGGCCUUUAUUGGACAGGGUCAUUAUAGGGUCAAACUUAUACUACAAUUAUUUUGAAAAUUAAAAUCGUAAUUAUACAAAAAAUUACGUGUAUAGCUUCGUAUUUACUUGUACUUGCACAUGGCUAUUUUGUUUUUCAUUUUUCAUUGCUCGUUUAUUGACCCGCCCACUAAUGACCCGCUAUUGACCCGCGACCCGUUUUUUACCCGCCCAUUAUCGACCCGCUAAAAAUGACCCUUUCAAUACCCGACCCUCUUUUGACCCGCACCGACCCUGACCCGCCCCGCCCAAUAACCAGGUCUAACCAGAAGAAACCGAGUCUGUAUUUUUCAGUUACUUGGUGUCUAAGAACCUCACUUUGGUGUGAUCAUGGUUAUAGAAAUUUCUGUAAGAAUCUAGUUCUUUUUGGUCCAGAGUAAUUUAAACUGAAAAGUUCCUACAGUCUCCAUAGAAAUGGGUAUAAUACACCAAGACUUAUCCAGGGUUGACUGGAUUGAUACACAAGGUUAUGGAAGUUUACCUUGUAAGUGUGAAUGUGUGAAUCUAGUUCUUUAUACUAGUUUGUUUAAACGACUCCGUCCCUUAAAUUUUUGUAUCGGUCAUACUUCCACAAAAAGGAGGAAUACUUUUAAAUCACAAAUUCACAAGUUCGAACAAUUGAUGGCGCCAAUUUAUUCCAAAUUUCUGUUGAGAAAAUAAUUUGUUGUUUUGCAGCUAUCUCUUCUACCAUUAUCAUUAUCAUUCAUCUGUAAUUCUGUACAGUUUCCACGUUUGAAUCCAAAGAAGCAGCAGUAUAUAUCCUAACUUCAGUAGUUCAGUUCACUUUUCUUAAAAAUACACCUAUAUAUAAGAAGAGAACAUUCUUGAAGUGUAUGUAAAAUGAUUCUGUUAGGGUAUGCACACAAGGUGUUCGAUCAAAUGCCACAACGAGAUACAGUCUAAAAGAUCAAAGUUGCGCAGAUUCUUUUUCAUUUGAUGCCGCAAAGAGAUGUAUUGUCGUGGAAUACCUCAAUUUCAAGGUAACUACAUAGUGGUAAUCUCAGAAUUACUGGAGAUAUUCAUGCAACUUGGAAACAAGGGUUGUGCUUUGAUCAUACUACUUUAGCAGUGAUAAAAUGUUGCUCAUUUUUGGAGGACUAUAAAUUGGGCGUACAAGUGCCAUUUUGGAGCUUAAGCUGUUUUCAAUGAUAUGUAUAUUAGAGAUACUUGUCUUGGAAUGUGAUAAUUGCAGCUUAUGAGCAAAAUGGGUUGCCAGAGAAAUCUCCACGCCUGUUUGUUUUAGUGCUAGCUUGUGGAUGGAACCCACAGCAGUGUUCUGACACGAAAACAAACCUUCAAAGUAUUGCAUGGAAAUCCAUAGCAGAGUUAUCAAAUCUGGAAUGGCCUUUCACCCUUUUUGUGGGAAGUAUUUUGGUUGAUAUGUGCUGUAAGUAUUGGGUGAUCGAUGAGGCUGUGAAGCUUCAUGAUAGACUGGACUCACUGGAGCAACAAAACAUUGUUUCAUGGAAUGCAAUUACUCCUGGGUGUUUAGCACAAAACCAGAACGAGGAAGCUCUUUGGAUUUUCUCUCUGAUGCUGGAAAUGGUUGUGGAACCGGAUAUUUAUACUCAUGCAACAGUUCCAGACUUCCUGAUACAUGUACUAACCUGGCACUUUCUGGACUUGGGAAGCAGAUCCGUGCUCAAAUUAUCAAGCAGGUGUCUCAGAUUUCCUAACCUGGGGCAAGGUAGCCAUAUGUUCCAGCAAGUGUGGUCCAAUUAGAUGAUUCUGGAUUCAAGAACUUUGCGGUGCCAAAGUCAGAGACUUGAGCUUCCAGAUGAGAGGACAGCAAAAUGUUUUUACUUGAAAUGUCACGGUGAACAACAGGUGGUGUGCAACCAUGGUGCAUGUAUGCCAGGGCAUCAGCAACACCCUUGAUGAUUCUCACCCGAUUGCCCCAGCCUAACUCCUUAGCUUCAUCGUUGCUGCUUAAUACAUCAGCCAAGCUUCCUCUUUCAACAUACUUGUACACCAAGGACAUCAUAUUCUGAUGCAAACAAAACCCAUAAAACCUCACAAUGUUCUUAUGUCGAAUCUCUGUGAGUGCUGUUACCUCAUUCACGAAAUUCCUGGCUGCUACCGCUUCUUUCUCUAAAGUGCUGGUGUCGAGCUUCUUAAUUGCUAUCACUUGACCAUUCGGAAACACUGCUUUAUAAACCCUCCCAGAUGCUCCACUUCCAAUGCAAUACUGACUGUGAAAGUUUUCUGUUGCUUUAACUAUGUCGCUGUACACUAAUUUCCCAUCAAAGUUCAAUACAGUGAAUACAUCUUUUGAUCUAUUAAGCUCGUGCAUUUCCUGUCUUUUGUAUUUUUCCAGUUUUCGUCUUCUCCAAAGUAUUAUGCUGCAGGAGACAAAAAGAAGAAAAAACAGGAUGCUUGCAAAAGAGGAAGCUGCGAUUAUUAUGGGACGACGAUGUUGCUUCUUUGUUGGAGAUGAAGAAGUUUGAGUAUCAUUGCAGGGUUUCAUGCCCUUUAUUCUACCACACAGAUCCAUAUUGCCAGCAAACGAUUGCAGAGGAAAUCCAGAGAAGGUUUUGCUGUCUGGCAGUGGGCCCGUGAGGUCAUUAUCUGAGAAAUUAGCGGUUACUAAGCUGGAAAGCGAGGCUAGAGAAACCGGGAUUUGACCACUGAGAUUGUUAUGUUGAAGGUUCAAGCUUUGAAGACUAGUGAGCUGCCCAACCUCUCUUGGUAUAUCUCCUGUGAGAUGAUUAUAACUCAAAUCCAGUAAAAUCUGCAGGGGAUAUGUAUCCUUGUAACCUGUUUGAUGAGAAGUCUAAUACCCCUAAAUUUGGCAACUGGUAAAUAUCCAUUGGUAUUUCACCACCAACAGAGUUUCCAGCUAUUAAAAGAGCAGUCAAGUUUAUGGACUUUCCCCAGUUUGGUGAGAGUUGACCACCUAGUUGAUUGUAACUCAAGUCAAUGUAUUCCAAGCUGGGAUAAACUCCAAAGUCCUGAUCAAGGUCUCCAGUGAGUUGGUUAUAUUGAAGAUUUGCGGGGGUAGUGAUCCCGUUAAGUUGUUCCUAGAAAAUUCAAGAUCAGUAAGUGAUGAGAGGUUGCCUAUAUCUUGAGGUACAUGGCCAGAGAACUGAUUGUUGAAUAAGCGAAGGUCAGUUAGUUUGCUAAGCCUACUAAUAAAACUCGGGAUUGACCCGCUGAAAAAAUUCUGAUCCAGGCGUAAGAUGGUUAACUCAGUCAAGUUAGCCAUUGAUACAGGGAUAUGGCCUGAAAAUCUACUUUUUUCAAAAAAUAUGGAUGAAAGAUUUUUGCAGUUUCCUAUGGUAGAAGGGAUUGGACCCUCUAGAUAAGUGUCUUGAAUGAUAAUUGUUUUAAUAUUUACGAGACCAGAGAACAAGGUCGGAUGAAUUCGACCAGUGAGAAAGUUUCGAGAGAGAUCAAGGUGCUCAACUAGUGUUAGAUUUGAAAGGGAAAGAGGAAUUGUACCAUUAAGCUCAUUAGUUGAGAGAUCAAGGUAUUUGAGGUUAGAAAUCAAGCCUAUAUUAGUAGGUAUUAUACCGGUAAAACGGUUGUAAUUAAGGUCGAGUAAAUUUAAAUGUGGGAAUGAAGAGAAAUCAAUGGCCUCGAGUGUACCUUCUAACUCUAACUCGGACAAGGUUAUCUGGGUCACUCUUCCAUGGUUGUCGCACGUGAUUCCUUGCCAUGUGCACGGGCGUAUGUUGGAGGAAGAAUUGAGACUUUGUGGUAAGAGCCAAGAGGUGAAGGCAGACUGGUUUCGGAAGCUUUGUUUCCAUUUAAGAAGCGCCUUUGCUUCUGUUUGUCCUGGAUUGUAUGCUUUUGCUUGAGAAAACAAGAGCAUGUAAACAAAAUUGAUUACAAACACAAGGUUAAUAGUUGACAUUUUGUUUUUGUAUAUUAACUUCGUAAUUUGGCAGAUUUAAAAUAUGUAGUGUAAGUAAAUUGCAA